rfam:Salmo salar isolate Sally breed double haploid chromosome ssa23, whole genome shotgun sequence.
UGCGUAACUUGUAAGUCGCUCUGGAUAAGAGCGUCUGCUAAAUGACAUAAA